AUUGAACGCUGGCGGCAGGCCUAACACAUGCAAGUCGAACGGUAACAGGAAGCAGCUUGCUGCUUUGCUGACGAGUGGCGGACGGGUGAGUAAUGUCUGGGAAACUGCCCGAUGGAGGGGGAUAACUACUGGAAACGGUAGCUAAUACCGCAUAACGUCGCAAGACCAAAGAGGGGGACCUUAGGGCCUCUUGCCAUCGGAUGUGCCCAGAUGGGAUUAGCUAGUAGGUGGGGUAACGGCUCACCUAGGCGACGAUCCCUAGCUGGUCUGAGAGGAUGAACAGCCACACUGGAACUGGGACACGGUCCAGACUCCUACGGGAGGCAGCAGUGGGGAAUAUUGCACAAUGGGCGCAAGCCUGAUGCAGCCAUGCCGCGUGUAUGAAGAAGGCCUUCGGGUUGUAAAGUACUUUCAGCGGGGAGGAAGGGAGUAAAGUUAAUACCUUUGCUCAUUGACGUUACCCGCAGAAGAAGCACCGGCUAACUCCGUG
rnacentral:rRNA from 1 species